UCACUAGAUAAAAGAAUAAUCAAUGCUUCAUCCUCCAGUGGGUGAGGAAAUCAAUGUGUCAGCCCUCUGUGAAUAAGAAUAGCAAUAUUUCCAUCUAUAAGAAUUGAAAACCUCAAGUCUACUCCAUAAAAAACAUGGUGACCCCUUUGGUAAGAUAAUACAAGAGGUUUCAGGAAGGCAGCCAUAUUGCAAGAGCAUCCAAACAUUUUAUAGCUUGAGAGAUGACAUUCCACUCCUGGCUUGGGUUAAUCAUUGCCCCCCCCCCCCCCCACACACACACACAUUCCUCUUCCCAAAUAUGUUCUCUGGGGGUAAUGCAUGUCCUUCCUUCCUUCCUUCCUUCCUUCCUUCCUUCCUUCCUUCCUUCCUUCCUUCCUUACAAAAUGCAAUGUUGGAAACAUUGAUUUUGGAGUAAGAGACAGACCUGGCUCCUAAACCUCUUACAUCCUUGUUCAGCUCACUUCAAGAGAUGGACAUGGCUCCUAAACCUUCACCAUCCUUGUACAGUUCACUUCAAGGAAACUGAAACAGAUGGACUUUCUUUGAAAGCUCAGCCAAUUGACAAUAGUCCUGGGGUGGGACUAGCCUAGUGCUGUCCAGCAUGAAAUAAGCAAGAAAAAAGCAGGCAGGGUGAAUAGACAAUAGCUAAGACUUAUCAACUCUCUUACUACCAGUGCAAUUAUCGGCAAUUUCCCAAGGACCUACUGCAUUCCAGAUGUCACUUAUAUGUGUUCCACAAUCCCUGUAAGGACAUAGUGACAUGGAUUUUGUUGUCACUGUUAGACAAGGACCUUUCAUGAAGAGAAGUUAAAACCUAAUGGAAUGGUGCAGUAUUACCCCAUAACAUACCUACAUAGCCACUAAUCUCAGUGUACUAGAGGCUAAGGCAUGAACAUUUUGAAUUUGAGGGCAGCUUUAAUUAACAGUGAGACCUUGUUUCAAAGAACCUGAAAGCAAGAAAAGGAAAAUGGUUCAGUGCUCCCAUGACUUGUCCUU
rnacentral:lncRNA from 1 species